rnacentral:rRNA from 1 species
ACUCCUACGGGAGGCAGCAGUGGGGAAUAUUGCACAAUGGGCGCAAGCCUGAUGCAGCCAUGCCGCGUGUGUAGAAGGCAUGGCUUGGUAAANCUUUCAGUUGUGAGGAAGGUGGUGUCGUUAAUAGCGGCAUCAUUUGACGUUAGCAACAGAAGAAGCACCGGCUAACUCCGUGCCAGCAGCCGCGGUAAUACGGAGGGUGCGAGCGUUAAUCGGAAUUACUGGGCGUAAAGCGCAUGCAGGUGGUUUGUUAAGUCAGAUGUGAAAGCCCGGGGCUCAACCUCGGAACUGCAUUUGAAACUGGCAGACUAGAGUACUGUAGAGGGGGUAGAAUUUCAGGUGUAGCGGUGAAAUGCGUAGAGAUCUGAAGGAAUACCGGUGGCGAAGGCGGCCCCCUGGACAGAUACUGACACUCAGAUGCGAAAGCGUGGGGAGCAAACAGGAUUAGAUACCCUGGUAGGAUAG